UCGGGGAGUCGCACAGCCUGGUAGUGCACGAGCUUUGGGUGCUCGUUGUCGUCGGUUCGAAUCCGGCCUCCCGACCCA
rnacentral:tRNA from 1 species